rnacentral:sRNA from 1 species
AAGAAACUGGCAGAUUAUCUGAAAGUGCUUAUAGACAAUAAACAUCUCUUAAGCGAGUUCUAUGAGCCUGAGGCUUUAAUGAUGGAGGAAGAAGGGAUGGUGAUUGUUGGUCUGCUGGUGGGACUCAAUGUUCUCGAUGCCAAUCUCUGCUUGAAAGGAGAAGACUUGGAUUCUCAGGUUGGAGUAAUAGAUUUUUCCCUCUACCUUAAGGAUGUGCAGGAUCUUGAUGGUGGCAAGGAGCAUGAAAGAAUUACUGAUGUCCUUGAUCAAAAAAAUUAUGUGGAAGAACUUAACCGGCACUUGAGCUGCACAGUUGGGGAUCUUCAAACCAAGAUAGAUGGCUUGGAAAAGACUAAUUCAAAGCUUCAAGAAGAGCUUUCAGCUGCAACAGACCGAAUUUGUUCACUUCAAGAAGAACAGCAGCAGUUAAGAGAACAAAAUGAAUUAAUUCGAGAAAGAAGUGAAAAGAGUGUAGAGAAUCUUGCUCUCUGUCACCCAGCCUGGAAUGCAGUGGUGUGAUCUUAGCUCACUGCAACCUCCACCUCCCGGAUUCAAGCGAUUUUCCUGCCUCGGCCUCCC